rnacentral:rRNA from 2 species
UUGAAGAGUUUGAUCAUGGCUCAGAUUGAACGCUGGCGGCAGGCCUAACACAUGCAAGUCGAGCGGUAGCACAGAGAGCUUGCUCUCGGGUGACGAGCGGCGGACGGGUGAGUAAUGUCUGGGAAACUGCCUGAUGGAGGGGGAUAACUACUGGAAACGGUAGCUAAUACCGCAUAAUGUCGCAAGACCAAAGUGGGGGACCUUCGGGCCUCAUGCCAUCAGAUGUGCCCAGAUGGGAUUAGCUAGUAGGUGGGGUAACGGCUCACCUAGGCGACGAUCCCUAGCUGGUCUGAGAGGAUGACCAGCCACACUGGAACUGAGACACGGUCCAGACUCCUACGGGAGGCAGCAGUGGGGAAUAUUGCACAAUGGGCGCAAGCCUGAUGCAGCCAUGCCGCGUGUGUGAAGAAGGCCUUCGGGUUGUAAAGCACUUUCAGCGGGGAGGAAGGCGGUGAGGUUAAUAACCUCAUCGAUUGACGUUACCCGCAGAAGAAGCACCGGCUAACUCCGUGCCAGCAGCCGCGGUAAUACGGAGGGUGCAAGCGUUAAUCGGAAUUACUGGGCGUAAAGCGCACGCAGGCGGUCUGUCAAGUCGGAUGUGAAAUCCCCGGGCUCAACCUGGGAACUGCAUUCGAAACUGGCAGGCUAGAGUCUUGUAGAGGGGGGUAGAAUUCCAGGUGUAGCGGUGAAAUGCGUAGAGAUCUGGAGGAAUACCGGUGGCGAAGGCGGCCCCCUGGACAAAGACUGACGCUCAGGUGCGAAAGCGUGGGGAGCAAACAGGAUUAGAUACCCUGGUAGUCCACGCCGUAAACGAUGUCGAUUUGGAGGUUGUGCCCUUGAGGCGUGGCUUCCGGAGCUAACGCGUUAAAUCGACCGCCUGGGGAGUACGGCCGCAAGGUUAAAACUCAAAUGAAUUGACGGGGGCCCGCACAAGCGGUGGAGCAUGUGGUUUAAUUCGAUGCAACGCGAAGAACCUUACCUGGUCUUGACAUCCACAGAACUUUCCAGAGAUGGAUUGGUGCCUUCGGGAACUGUGAGACAGGUGCUGCAUGGCUGUCGUCAGCUCGUGUUGUGAAAUGUUGGGUUAAGUCCCGCAACGAGCGCAACCCUUAUCCUUUGUUGCCAGCGGUCCGGCCGGGAACUCAAAGGAGACUGCCAGUGAUAAACUGGAGGAAGGUGGGGAUGACGUCAAGUCAUCAUGGCCCUUACGACCAGGGCUACACACGUGCUACAAUGGCAUAUACAAAGAGAAGCGACCUCGCGAGAGCAAGCGGACCUCAUAAAGUAUGUCGUAGUCCGGAUUGGAGUCUGCAACUCGACUCCAUGAAGUCGGAAUCGCUAGUAAUCGUAGAUCAGAAUGCUACGGUGAAUACGUUCCCGGGCCUUGUACACACCGCCCGUCACACCAUGGGAGUGGGUUGCAAAAGAAGUAGGUAGCUUAACCUUCGGGAGGGCGCUUACCACUUUGUGAUUCAUGACUGGGGUGAAGUCGUAACAAGGUAACCGUAGGGGAACCUGCGGUUGGAUCACCUCCUU